UCCGUAGGCGGGCAAUUAAGUCAGGGGUGAAAGUUUGCGGCUCAACCGUAAAAUUGCCUUUGAUACUGGUUGUCUUGAAUUAGUGUGAAGUGGUUAGAAUGAGUAGUGUAGCGGUGAAAUGCAUAGAUAUUACUCAGAAUACCGAUUGCGAAGGCAGAUCACUAACACUAUAUUGACGCUGAUGGACGAAAGCGUGGGGAGCGAACA
rnacentral:rRNA from 1 species